AGUCCUUACUGGCUGGGCUUUUCCUGUGCAGUAUAGGUAGAGCUCCAUUCUCACUUCCCAGUUCUUGCUUGUAUUGCAGCGUAGGACCCUUCAAUAACUUUAUUUUUUCCUUCUCAUUGUGUUAAGCCUAUUACCAUGUGGAAUCAUAAUAACAGCCACCAAGAUUCAGGCAGCAGAUUUCUUAACAGCUGAUGCUCACGGCCACUGUAGAGAGAUACACGGUGGAAGUCUCAGGAAGUAUUCAUGUCCCUGCCCUGUGGGAGCCAUUUUAGUUAAGACCCAAUCUUGGAAGCACACUUCCAAAGCGGCUGAUUUUAAAAUCUUGUUUUAAUCAUUAGAGUGAAAAAAAAAACCCCACAGUAUAAAGAGGUAGGAUGCAAAUGCAUCUGAUCAGACCAUGGAAUAGUCAAAUUGGAGCAAGUCUGGAACUAGAUAGCCACACGGAGAAGCCGCUGCCCAGAGUUUAAGUAACUGAUGACACACUGUUAGCCCGGAAGGAAGUACUCUCCUUCAAAUAAGCUUUGAAAUAUAGUGCUUAAAGCAAAUUCUUUCAGUAAUAUCUUAAGCAAAAAUUGAAAAUAUUCAAAUGAGACGAGGGGUUUCUUUUGGUAUGCAAGAAUACUUCAGUUAAUGGAGGUUACUAUAAGAUUAUUCAAAUUAUGAUACAUGUCAUGUGCAGACUUCAUAGAGGACUGAUUUAUGAUUUUGUCACUUGCUCCACCUCCUCCUGGCUUCGCCUUCCCGGGGCUUCCGUUGCUCCCAGCCUGUGGUCUGUCUUCUCCCCCCACUUGUCUCUCAGCACGUUUGUGAGGCAGGCUCAUGUCAACGGAACAACUGCUUGUCAAGUCUGCUUCAUGGUGUUGUAAGGCAACCAUGGCUUCUACAGCCAUGGGACAACUUAAUUCUGAAGGGCGGUAGGACAGCAAAGCCACCUCAACACGUCUUUACCAAGAUCGAAACUCUUGACUAGGAAGGCUAGAAUCCCGAGACUCUGUAAAGAGCCAACGUGGAGUCAGACCUCAGCACAGUGUGAUCCAGGAAGCACAAUGUCUACUCCUUGGGCACCAAAAGGCUUACAAGUCCUGUGAAAUGGUUCAGAAAUCCACAUGCUGAGUAUUCACACCCUGAGAAGACGUACAGAAGGAUGGACUGCAAAGAUGGAUAGAGAAUUAACCGAUGCGCAGCUUUCUUCUCUGACUCAUGACUUAGCAUGGUGACGUCAUCUGGAUCUAGUCCUAGCACACCGCUGGAUGACUUGUGGGAGGCUGGACACAAUGAUGGACUACGGUAAGAAUCUGGGUCCUUUACUAAAAGCAGCUGUAGGAGAUGAAAAAAGUGAGAAGUGGAAGCACCAACCAACGCUGCGCAAAUUAAAAACACACACUUUGUACAAUGCAUGAUGUUUCUGGCGGGAUUUCAUAGAAACACUGGGCAACCUCCUUUGAGCGAUUGCUAGGCACCUGCACAAUUAGAGAAGGUGGCUGCAUUCUUAUUGCUUCAAUGUGCACUGAACAUUGGGUCAGAAAACAAAGGGAGAAUGAAAAGGAGUAAAACAAAAGGAGAUUUGUUGAA